UGAACGCUGGCGGUAGGCCUAACACAUGCAAGUCGAACGGCAGCACAGUAAGAGCUUGCUCUUACGGGUGGCGAGUGGCGGACGGGUGAGGAAUACAUCGGAAUCUACUUUUUCGUGGGGGAUAACGUAGGGAAACUUACGCUAAUACCGCAUACGACCUACGGGUGAAAGCAGGGGAUCUUCGGACCUUGCGCGAUUGAAUGAGCCGAUGUCGGAUUAGCUAGUUGGCGGGGUAAAGGCCCACCAAGGCGACGAUCCGUAGCUGGUCUGAGAGGAUGAUCAGCCACACUGGAACUGAGACACGGUCCAGACUCCUACGGGAGGCAGCAGUGGGGAAUAUUGGACAAUGGGCGCAAGCCUGAUCCAGCCAUACCGCGUGGGUGAAGAAGGCCUUCGGGUUGUAAAGCCUUUUGUUGGGAAAGAAAAGCAGCAGGUUAAUACCCCGCUGUUCUGACGGUACCCAAAGAAUAAGCACCGGCUAACUUCGUG
rnacentral:rRNA from 1 species